UUACGGUUAGAGGAGAGAUUAGGAAUUUUAUCGUCAUUUAGGCCUUCGAUUGUACUACGAGUUCGGAUCUCCUGCUCUUGUAACGAGAGGAUUGGGAUUGGAGUGUCGGGAUUUGUAAUGCCGGCUGUUCGCAUUGCAAAUUUCCCUCUGUUUUCUCUUUAAAUUAGCCCCCUUUACUUUCUUGGUUGAUGAGAUUUUAGUUUGUGUAGCUUGGUCGUACGAAUCUUUUCUUUCCUGAACUUUUUGAUCGGUUGUUUCAACUAUACUGCAGGUAAAGCCUUCUCUCGAUCGAUCGAUCGAUCGAAACCUUUCAUUCCGCUGUUUUCGGGUGAUGUCCGCUCUAUAGUUUCUUUGAGUUGUUUGGGAUUUGUAAGCUUAUGUUCUGCAUGUAUGAGAUGCUGCUGUAUAUGUUGUAAUUUUUGGGAAGGGAAUCCGUUGGAAUAUUUCUUCUGUUGAUUAAAAAUAUCAACUUUGACUCUGAACCGGUGGUGGUAGUAUUUUUCUUUGUGGAUUCUGUGGUAUUUAGGUUAAGAUGUAAGGAAAGAGUACUUCUGAUGUGAACUAGUUGUGAUGCCUAUCAUAACGGGAAUGCCCGAAUUAGACAGAUCUAUUUUGGAAAAUCAAGCUAGUUAGAUAGUGUUAUUUGGUGAUUGUUUCGUGUGGAUUGUUACAAGACAGAUUUUAGACUUUUGUUUGUUGAAUUUUUAAAGGGGCUAUCUCCAUGAGGUUAUGAUAGAUUAUGUUGUAACUGAACUUCGUUCCUUCUCCUAAUUCUAAAACUGUGGAUCCUUCUUCCUUUUAUGCAUCCUAGAUCAUGAUUUCAAGUCUAUCUUAAAUGAUACAAUGAAUGUCAAGAGACAACUUCUCCCCUUGUUGGAUAUGUCAUUUUCAAAAUUAGGCAGGUUUAGGAAACGUCCCUGGUUGAGCCUGACAUUAGAAAUUAUGAAGCAAACCAGUCAUACAAGAAGCCAUGUGCUAUGUAAUGUUCUAAGAAUCCACAUUCCUUAUUUGCUGUAUUGUUCUUCCUUUUACAGUGCAGCAUGAUUUGUCCUUUCUCUCUAUCAUAGUGAUUUACUUUCAUGGUAUAGUAGGGCACACAAUAAUUGUCUGAACACUUGAAUUCUGAAUUGUUGCUAUGAUACAGACAAUAUGAAUUCUGAAGUAAACUUCCGCCGAAAGUAAGAAAGGUUCUGAAGUGAAAAUUUUUCCUCACACGCAAGUAGGGAAUGAAAAGAAGACUAUAAGCUUUGAUCUCCGACCUUCAGAUGCCAUUAAUAUGACUGUUCAAUGCAAGGCCUGAUGGCCAGCCUUGCUUCGAGACUGAAGAGUUCAAUUUGAUCCAAAACAUGCUGACUGCUGCUGUUGAGGAACGAUACUUAGAUGCUGCUCAGUGGAGGGACCAACUUCAUCAGCUCAGAUCCAAUAGAAAGAACUGGACAUGACAGGUUUUGGUGCAACCCUAUGCUCCCUGUCCUUUUUUUUUUGGCAUAUUCUUGAAAUUCUUGUACCUGUCAUAGGUUUUUUUUUUUUCUUAUGCUGCUGCAGUUCACUGGGAUGUAUAUAUGUUGUCCAAUCAUGCCGGAAAAACGUGAUCAUAUAUAAGUAUAUGUAAGUAGUAGAUAGCCAUUGAUCUUGCAGAUAUACAUGUAUAUAUAGUUUGCAACUCCAUGUUGGCAUCAUUUGCCUGUAUAUAUAUCGAUGUAAGACAAAGGAUCUCUUAUUCACAAGACAACCAUGGCUUAGCUUAGCAUCCAUCUCUUGCUAAUGUUGCUUGACUUCUGGUUUUCACCACUGUGAAGUGUUGACAUCUUCAAAGUCUGAGGCCUCCAGCAAAACUUCACCUUGCAAGUGCUAUUAUAAAUGUAGAUACUAAACUUUAUCCAAUUGGACAAUCAUAAUUUAAUGUGCUAUUUGUGGAUGAAGUUUAAAAUCAUUGCUGUUGGAUGCUAAAUUCUCUGGACAACAACACUACUCAGAUUUCCAGAAGACAGACCAAAUGCAUGUGCUACUCUACUGUUCUUGUGCUUGUGGGGAGGACAUGGAGAGAGAUUAUUAAUAUUUAUUUUUCCAAAAGAUAAAGGUAGAUUCAUUGCUUUAAGAAAUGAGAAUAGUUUGUCCUGGAGCUCAGAAAAAAAAAA